UGGUUGUUGUUGCAGCAAACUCCCAGUUUUGCAUAUGAAGGUGAGUUAAGGCCUUGAGCUCCAAAGCCAUCUGGUGGCUGUAAGGACAGGAUAAAAUGAUUCCUCAAGGGAACUAUUUUUAUAACAUUAGCAAGAGUAUUCAUGCAAGGACCAAUUUCUUUCAUGUUUCUAGUGGUUUAACAAGCUAAGUGUUUGUUAGCCUUGUCCUAAAGCUUUAGUUUCCAUGAAUCACUCAACCCAGAGGGUAAAGUGCUCCCUGUGGUGUGCUGCGCCCUCAUGCACGCAAUUAGUGGUGAGUGUUGGGGUGUGCACGAAGGCUGCAAGGGCAGAUAGUGCUCUAGGAAUGCUGAUAAACACUGCUGUGUUCUUUUCUAAAGUCAAUUACUGAGAUAAAACCAGUUUUCCCUGAAAAACUUUACCCUUAAAUGUUUACGAAGGUGUUUUUCCCCUUCUGUCAAUGCUCCAUCACUGGAGCUUUGGUACAUCUUCAGCUUGGUUUAGUUUGUGGGAAGUUAAAAGCUCCAACAUGUGACUGCACCCACAUCUGUAAAUACCACCUGGGGCUUUCUGCAAGCCUGUCACCUUGCGAAUGGCAUGUGAAGUGACUGGACAAUGGCUGGGGAAGUGACUGGACAAAGUUCUUCACUGGGCACUUCCUCAUCCGGUUUCUAGCGCAAGCUCCAUCAUUGUGGCCUGUGAAGAGGGAAGUGAGAGGCUUGUUUACAUGUGCAGCAACACCCUUCCCUCUUUGCCCCAAAACAAAGUGCUUUGUAAGAAAUGAGAUGGUAAAAAUGUCGGUUUAGCUUAAUGACUGGGGGCAUUAGACACUAGCAAAGCUGAAGGUCUAGUGAGAGCGUGUGCUUAGGUUGGUGCCUUUCACGUUCCAUCUGACCCAACGUAACUGGAACAUCUCAACUUCGUCACUGGCAGCCCGGUUAGGACAGGCUGUCUUGCUUGGGAUACCCUUGUGUUCAGCAAUAGAAACUUGGUGAUGUCCCUCACAGCCCAAGACACCAACUGAUGAUUUUAAUGACCAUGAAGUUAUUUGGAGCUUGAUUCAGCUGGGCAAGUUUCACCUGCCUCACACGGCUGCUGACAGGCCACUGCUCUGCCCAGUGAUGGUGGUUGAAGCAGUGACUCUCACCUGGUGUAUUGUCAGCCCUCUGCUGCUACUGGGGGAAGUGCUUGUCUUGUGCAGCUCCUUAUCUUAAAGCAGCUUUUCACUCUGGCCAUAUCUUGCUCCUCUUUUUUCUUUUUGUCACAGGGUUGAUAGAAUACAGGGCUGUGGAACUAGGCUAAAGAAAUUACCGGUUCUAUCUGAACACACUAUGCUUUUGGAUAUAGAGUUCGCAUCCAUGUGCCUUGCAGAACUGCAGAGGUAGCUGCAGGCUUGGAGUUUUUGUUCAGAGCCAGGAUGAAGGUUGUGAUGCCAGUUCAGCACACUGUGAGGAUGCCCAAGCCCUGGCUGGAAUAAGCAUCAGUGAAGAGACCUACCCUUAGUUGUAUAAUACAUGUUGAUCACCAAAGCAAGUGGUAGCUGCCAGGAGGAUUUUUGAAAGCCUGUGUUUUUUUCCUCUUAAACAUUCACUGGCGUAAGGAAGCUGCUUCAGUGCUGGGGUCUUCCAGAGCUGGGAGCUGCAGCGUCAGUCAGCUGUUCCUCCUGUACCCAGCUCCUGCUAUUUCAGGUCCUGCAUCACAGAUGAGGUAAGGCUGAAGCAGGAUGGGUGUCACAGGCUCUACAACUGAGUCACUCUCUUAUGUGGCAUGGCAGGGUGGGAGGUUGCAGUGGCUUGAGCUAGCACAUGUGACAAACCAGUGAGCUGAUUACUACAGCCCUGAUGUAGUAUCUAGCUGACUGUUAAUCCUUUUAGUCCUACAAAGGCUAAAUAUAUCUAGAGGUUAAAUCUAACCUUGACUCUUGUGUUUAAUCCUGCUGGCAUUCUCACGUUAUAGCCUUCGGGGUGUCACUGGGAGAGAAUCCAUGAAUAAAUCAAAUGAAGGAGCAGGGUCCUGGCUUCUCCUUGGUGUGCUACAGGUGUAACACUGAACAAGCCUUUUAUUCCUGUACCUUACUUAGGUGCUGCUAAACAUGUGGGCCCCUGCUUUGGUGCAGUCAGUCCUAGAUUUUGGUAGGUAUAAUGAAGGAGCUGAGGUAUAGGUACGAGUGUCUUCACCAAGAGUUCUUCCUAAGCUGGAACGUGACUUUUAUCACCUUCAUUAAAAUAAUAUCAUUCUCAGGGGCCACUCUUCUAGUGACAAGGCAGAAAGCAAUGGCAGGACAGGCCAGAAGACUUAAGAGACACUCUUAAAAUCGUAACAUGAGUUAGCUGGAAUAGGUGCUGAAGGCAAGUUAGAAGUUGCAUGUCUUUGCCCUGGAAGGGACCAUGAGCCACUGAUUGCAUUAGCAGCCCCAAAUCCCUUGGGAUACUCUGGAGUUUGCCAGUAAACUGUUAACAACCACCUAACAUAUCUAGGAGAGUCAAAUGCAGUGCUGCUUUUUUAGGGCUUUGAAAUUACACUUUCCCCCUCUUCCCCCUCCCACCUCAGUCUCAUUAGCUUUGAGGCUUGCUAUUUUAACUGUGGCAAGAAAAGA